CAAGGCUGCUCCAGGGCAUUACUUUUUUGUCGCUGCCUGGAGGAAUAGGGCUUUUUAAUAUAAAUAUGUGGUGCGCUUUUGCAGCUGGAAAAAUGGAGCUUAGCCCUGCACUCAGUAGGUGAUCAGUGGUAACUAAUUGUCUGCUGACCAAAUCAGGUGCUUGGUCACCUGCGCCUGCCCUUUCCCCAGUGUCCCACCUGUGCUGCGUUGCACUGAGCGGCCAGUGCCUGGCAGUGGGGCAGCCCUGGGUUCGAUAUGCCUGCUGUGCUUCUGGAUCAAGCUCUUUAUUCCCUGGCAUCUCUCCAUUUGAAAAAUCACAGGAUCACCAUCACCACUUGUUCCAUGGCAAUAUCUUUGUUAAAGAGAGGAGAAGCAGUCAUGCUGGCAAUAGAAAGGUGUUGAUGAGCCAGGAAAGGAGUAGCACAGAGCUGCUGGAAGUAGAUGGAGCACAAAGCCCUGCAACCCCCUUUGGUGGGGAGGAAGGGAAAAGGGAUCAGCCAAGUAUCUUUAUGUUUGAGGUAGUUCCCUGAGUUUCAUGAGCCAUCAACAACAGAAGAAGCUUUUCUCUGUUUCUUAGAUUUGAGUUUUCUACCUGUGCUGUUCUGGGGGGGGGGGUUAGAGGGGGGAAGAUGGAAGAAAAAAAAAAAGAAAAAAAAAAAGUAUUAGCAUGGUAACUACUUCGUAUUAUUUCCUUAAAUAACUUCUAUAUCGUAGUGUAUUUUCUUGAUGGUAUCAACUUAUAUUGGAAUUCUCCCAAAUUCAGAGUGGAACUAGGGGGCCUUUUUGUGUUGCCUGGAUUUUAAUGACCAUCCUACUAUAUUAAUCUAUUACUGUACUAAUACUACUGUUGGAAUGCAUUUUGUUGCUAAUGUACUUUGAAAAAUCCUUAUUGUCCUUAAUUGUGCUGGCCAUUGAUUUCUCACUGAUGUUAGCCUCAAGCAUUCUAGCAGUCUCCUGGCUCCUAAUUUAUAUUAAUUGCUAUCAGUGUUCCCUUUUUUUGGUUUCAUUAUUUAUUUUUAUACUUGCCUUUACUUCUCCUGUAGGUCUCUUUCCUCUAAGGAUGGUUAAUUUUUCCUUGAUUGUGGAUUUUGUGGCAUUUCUUUACAAUAUUCUUAACUCUUAGCAGUUAUCAUAGAUCUUGUUUCAUAGAUUUGAAGGUAGUUUCAAUUGCAUUAUGUUACACUGUAUUUUGAAUUUCAGCCUCAAGAUAAUUUUAACUUAGAGCAUUCAACUCUUGGUCAAUAUUAAAGUAUGUAUUGUUCUAUAAGAAAGAAAAAAAAAUAGAA